ensembl:misc_RNA
UAGAGGUGGCGGAGACAGGAACGGAGCCAAGGCUGCAGAGGCAGGAGGCGGGAGGGGAAACCCAGUCGGGCAGCUGGGA